rnacentral:rRNA from 1 species
CAAAAACAUCUUUUCUCGUUAGUUUUUGAAGUAUGGCCUGCCACUGACUUUGAGUUGAAGGGCCGCGGUAUUUUGACCGUGCAAAGGUAGCAUAAUCAUUAGUUCUUUAAUUGUGAUCUGGUAUGAAUGGCUUGACGAGACAUUAGCUGUCUUAUGGGUAUUGUUAAUUGAAUUUAGUUUUUGAGUUAAAAUUCUUAAAUGUUUUUAUGGGACGAGAAGACCCUAUAGAGUUUGACACCUUACUUGCUAUAUUUUAUUGGUUGGGUUUUAUUUUUAGUUGAGUGGGGUGGUUUGUUGGGGGGAUGAGAGGAUUGUUUUUAACUCCCCUUUGAUUUUUAUAUAUUUAUUAUAUUUGUUUGAUCCAUGUAUUUUGAUUAUAAAAAUAAAUUUCCUU